rnacentral:rRNA from 1 species
GAUGAACGCUGGCGGCGUGCCUAAUACAUGCAAGUCGAGCGAACAGAUGAGGAGCUUGCUCCUCUGACGUUAGCGGCGGACGGGUGAGUAACACGUGGAUAACCUACCUAUAAGACUGGGAUAACUUCGGGAAACCGGAGCUAAUACCGGAUAAUAUAUUGAACCGCAUGGUUCAAUAGUGAAAGACGGUUUUGCUGUCACUUAUAGAUGGAUCCGCGCCGCAUUAGCUAGUUGGUAAGGUAACGGCUUACCAAGGCAACGAUGCGUAGCCGACCUGAGAGGGUGAUCGGCCACACUGGAACUGAGACACGGUCCAGACGCCUACGGGAGGCAGCAGUAGGGAAUCUUCCGCAAUGGGCGAAAGCCUGACGGAGCAACGACGCGUGAGUGAUGAAGGUCUUCGGAUCGUAAAACUCUGUUAUUAGGGAAGAACAAAUGUGUAAGUAACUAUGCACGUCUUGACGGUACCUAAUCAGAAAGCCACGGCUAACUACGUG